GAUUCUCUUCCCCCCUGUUUCUCUUCCUCAACUUCUUAUCUUUUCUUCUCUGUCAAUAUUCAGUUUCCCCUUUUUUCUCUUCCUCAACUUCUUUUUUUCUUCUCCGCUUUUGUUUCUCCUCCUUUAUUUUUUUGCAUCCAUCCCGUUUUUGUUUCUCCUCCUUUAUUCUUUUGCGUCCGUCCAUAUUUUGUUUUACGUCAAUAUUCUAUUUUUUUCCCUUUUUGUCUAAUUUUUUGUGCUUUGAUUUUUAGGACAGUCUAACAACGGUGCUGAAGGUUACGAGGCUUUGCCCAUGGAAGAGUUGGGAUAGGCUAGUAAAGAAUAAAGGCUAACGGUGGUGUUGAAGGUUACGACGCUUUGCCCAUGCAAGGGUUGCAACAAUAGGACUUGAGGUUACUGUUCUUUUUCGUUUUUUUAAAAGAAAAUUAUUUCCUGUCAUUUUUGCUACAAGAGUUGUUGCUGAUUUCUUUUUGUUUCUCUUCUAAUUCUUUUUCGUUUUUUAAAAUGCAGGUUCGUAGACACAAAAGCUUAAAUUUUUUGUGGUGUUCUGCCUUUAUUUUGUUUUCUGACUUCUCCCAAUACAAAAGUUUAAUUUUUUGUGUUCUUUUGGCAUGUUGUAUGCAGAGAAGCUGGAAAAACACAUUAAAGUUACGAUUUUUAUCUCAAAAACUUCAUGGGUUCAAGUUCGUAAACACAAAGGCUUUAAUUUUUGGGGGUGUUUUGCCUUUAUUUUGUUUUCUACAUGAGUACAGGUUCUGUGUUGAAGAACAAAUGUGUCAUUUUUUUUCGUAAUUUCCUUUUUUCAAAAAAUUAUCUUCUCCCAUUUUUGCUACAAGAGUUGUUGUUGAUUUCUUUUUGUUUCUCUCUAAUUCUUUUUCGGCUUUUUAAAAUGCAGGUUUGUAGGCACAAAAACUUAAAUUUUUUGUGGUCUUCUGCCUUUAUUUUGUUUUCUGACUUCUCCCAAUACAGAAGUUUAAAUUUUUUUGUGUUCUUUUGGCAUGUUGUAUGCAGAGAAGGUGGAAAAACACAUUAAAGUUGCGAUUUUUAUCUAAAAAACUUCAUGGGUUCAGAGAAGGUGGAAGAAGACACUGAAGCUGCCAUUUUUUACUCCAAAAAUCUUCCAUUUUUAUAUGAUUUUUAUGUCAAAAGGUUUGUCUCCUUUGUUUCUCUGUCUACAUGUUUGUUUUCUUUGUUUAUUUGUUUCUCCAUCUUCCUUUUUCGUUCCUCUCCAUUCUUCUUCCUUCUUAUUCUGUUUUCUUUGUUUCUCUGUUUCUUCAACUUCCAUUUUCGUUCGUCUUCAUUCCUCUUCAUAUUCCAUUUUACUCCUAUUUUUGUUUUAGUUCCAUUUUUGUUUAUCUCGCUGCAUGUUAAUUGUUUUUUUAUGAAUCGUUAUUGUAUGUAGAGAAGGUGGAAGGAGACACUAAAGUUGCCAUUUUUAACUCCAAAAACCUUCGAUUUUUAUCUGAUUUUUAUCUCAAACAGGAUUCUUUUCUUUGUUUCUCUAUCUACAAGUUCGCUUUCUUUAUUUGUUAUCUUUAUAUUCCGUUUGACUUUUGUUUUCGUUUUGGUUCCAUUUUUGUUUAUGUCAUUGCAUGUUGAUUGUUUUUCAUGAAUCAGCAUUGUAUGCAGACAAGGUUGAAGAAGACACUAUACCUAUCAUUUUGUACUCCAAAUAUUACACUAAGUAAAAUAAUAUUAUCAUUAUCUUCAUAUCCUAACGGAAUAGACUCAUUAAUUUGAAGAUCAUGACCAUUUUCAUACUCCAACAAAAUAUUUAAAAUUGAUUGGCAAAAAUUAAUU